GUGCCAGCCGCCGCGGUAAUACGUAGGGGGCAAGCGUUGUCCGGAUUUAUUGGGCGUAAAGAGCGUGUAGGCGGUCAGGUAGGUCGGUUGUGAAAACUGGAGGCUCAACCUUCAGAGGUCGACCGAAACCCCCUGGCUAGAGUCCGGGAGAGGAGAGUGGAAUUCCUGGUGUAGCGGUGAAAUGCGCAGAUAUCAGGAAGAACACCCGUGGCGAAAGCGGCUCUCUGGAACGGUACUGACGCUGAGACGCGAAAGCGUGGGGAGCGAACAGGAUUAGAAACCCUUGUAGUCC
rnacentral:rRNA from 1 species